AUUGAACGCUGGCGGCAUGCCUUACACAUGCAAGUCGAGCGGCAGCACGGGUGCUUGCACCUGGUGGCGAGUGGCGAACGGGUGAGUAAUACAUCGGAACGUACCUUAUCGUGGGGGAUAACGCAGCGAAAGCUGUGCUAAUACCGCAUACGCCCUGAGGGGGAAAGCGGGGGAUCGAAAGACCUCGCGCGAUUAGAGCGGCCGAUGCCUGAUUAGCUUGUUGGUGGGGUAAAAGCCCACCAAGGCGACGAUCAGUAGCUGGUCUGAGAGGACGAUCAGCCACACUGGGACUGAGACACGGCCCAGACUCCUACGGGAGGCAGCAGUGGGGAAUUUUGGACAAUGGGGGCAACCCUGAUCCAGCAAUGUCGCGUGAGUGAAGAAGGCCUUCGGGUUGUAAAGCUCUUUUGUCAGGGAAGAAACACCGGCUCUAACACAGUCCGGGAAUGACGGUACCUGAAGAAUAAGCACCGGCUAACUACGUGCCAGCCGCCGCAGUAA
rnacentral:rRNA from 1 species